GCUUAUUGCUUGCCUAACCUCUGGGGAGGUGCUGGGCCUGACCCUUGCUAUUCAGAUAAACUUCCAACCUUUGCCCUGGCCAGGCACCUGGCCACUCUUCACCCUUCUGGCUGCUGCUCACCACGUGCUCUGUUUGGCAGGCUGCACCUACACAGGUAGAAUCUUCUACAACAACGAGACCUUCCCAUCAGUGCUGGACCCCUGUCUGAGCUGCAUCUGUCUGCUGGGCUCGGUGGCCUGUUCACCUGUGGACUGUCCCAUCACCUGUACCUACCCCUUCCACCCGGAUGGAGAGUGCUGUCCUGUGUGCCAUGACUGUAACUUUGAAGGGAGAAAGGUAGUGAAUGGUCAGGUGUUCACCUUGGAUGACGAGCCCUGUACCCGGUGCAUCUGCCAGCUGGGAGAGGUGAGCUGCGAAAAGGUCCCUUGCCAGCCGGUCUGUACUGAUCCCUCCUGCCCAGGUAAGCAGGCCCUGAGCCUAAGCUUUCUCCACCAUCUUCCACUGCAAAACUUCUCAGAGACAUAGGCCUUAGAAAGGGCUGCCCAGGUGACCCGGGCUCAGACAGCAUGCUCAAGGUCACACAGUUAUGGCAGGCUGAUGCUUCUGGGCUACUUACUACGAAAUACCAAAUGCCACAAUGUGUUGUAUUGCCCCCCCCCCCCUUUUUUUUGGCCUGUGUGUG